GACGUAGGGCGCGAGCGUUGUCCGGAUUUAUUGGGCGUAAAGAGCUCGUAGGCGGUUUGUUGCGUCGGCUGUGAAAUCCCGAGGCUCAACCUCGGGUCUGCAGUCGAUACGAGCAAACUAGAGUGUUGCAGGGGAGACUGGAAUUCCUGGUGUAGCGGUGAAAUGCGCAGAUAUCAGGAGGAACACCGGUGGCGAAGGCGGGUCUCUGGGCAAUAACUGACGCUGAGGAGCGAAAGCGUGGGGAGCGAACAGG
rnacentral:rRNA from 1 species